rnacentral:lncRNA from 1 species
UUCAUCUGAUAUGGGUUCUCCCAAGGCAUCAAAAGAAUUUGCAAAUUCUAAAAUAUUCAUGUGAAAAUCAUGAAUAGUCUCUUCUUCCUUCAUACUCAGAUUUUCAAAGUUUGUGCGAAGUAUCUGAAGUUUGGACAACUUUACCUUGUUGGUUCCUUCAUGUGCUUUCCUAAGUAUCUCCCACGCAUGUUUAGCCACAGUGCAUCGUUUGAUAAGUCUGAACAUGUUGAUGUCCACCCCAUUGAAUAUGGCAUUUAAGGCUUUUGAGUUUCCUAGAGCUAAGUCAUCCUCGUCCUUAGAAUAGUCUUUUGUAGGCUUGAUUUCACUGGUUUUCUUUCCAUCUUUAUCAAUG